AAUCAAGUGCCUUAAGGGUGUUCGGUGGAUGCCUUGGCGCUGAGAGGCGAUGAAGGACGUGCUACGCUGCGAUAAGCCGUGGGGAGCUGCGAAGAAGCUUUGAUCCGCGGAUUUCCGAAUGGGGAAACCCACCUUCGAUAGCCGGAACUCCAAGACCUUGUGUGUUGGGGUUCGACCAGAAAUGCGAGAAAUCAAACCGCGAGGUUUUGGAUUUCCGGUUAUCAAGAGAAGGUAUGAGACCUCCGAAUAAAAUAGGAGGUUUUAAGCAAACCCAGGGAACUGAAACAUCUAAGUACCUGGAGGAAAGGACAUCAAUCGAGACUCCGUUAGUAGUGGCGAGCGAACGCGGACCAGGCCAGUGAUACAUCAAAGACAAUCGGAACCUGUCAGGAAAGCAGGGCCUCAGAGGGUGAUAGCCCCGUACGAGUAAUGCGAUGAUGUAUCCACGA
rnacentral:rRNA from 1 species